AUUCCCAUAGCUCAGAUGGAUAGAGUGGUAGCCUCCUAAGCUACAGACAUAGGUUCGAAUCCUAUUGGGAAUA